rnacentral:rRNA from 1 species
AUUGAACGCUGGCGGCAGGCCUAACACAUGCAAGUCGAGCGGGGUUUUCGGACCUAGCGGCGGACGGGUGAGUAAUGCGUAGGAAGCUACCCGAUAGAGGGGGAUACCAGUUGGAAACGACUGUUAAUACUGCAUAAUGUCUACGGACCAAAGUGUGGGACCUUCGGGCCACAUGCUAUCGGAUGCACCUACGUGGGAUUAGCUAGUUGGUGAGGUAAUGGCUCACCAAGGCGACGAUCCCUAGCUGGUUUGAGAGGAUGAUCAGCCACACUGGAACUGAGACACGGUCCAGACUCCUACGGGAGGCAGCAGUGGGGAAUAUUGGACAAUGGGCGCAAGCCUGAUCCAGCCAUGCCGCGUGUGUGAAGGAGGCCUUCGGGUUGUAAAGCACUUUCAGUAGGGAGGAAGCGUUGUGUGUUAAUAGUACACAGCGUUGACGUUACCUACAGAAGAAGCACCGGCUAACUCUGUGCCAGCCGCCGCAGUAAGAC